CUUGAUCGAUCCCAGCCGCAGCGGCUCGCCGCGGUCCUGGCCGUAGGUGGCCAGCAGCGCGUUGGCCUC
rnacentral:antisense_RNA from 1 species